GGAUCGAUGAUGACUCCCUCAAAUGCAUUCCUUGGAAAUCUGAACAAAAUGAGUGAGAACUCACUACCGUCGUUCUCGCCGAGACUGAGGUCC
rnacentral:snoRNA from 9 species